CACGUAGGGGGCGAGCGUUGUUCGGAAUCAUUGGGCGUAAAGGGUGCGCAGGCGGCCGACCGAGUCUGGUGUGAAAUACCCCGGCCCAACCGGGGGGGCGCGCUGGAAACUGGACGGCUGGAGUGCAGGAGGGGGAGUCGGAAUUCCAGGUGUAGGGGUGAAAUCUGUAGAUAUCUGGAAGAACACCGGUGGCGAAGGCGGACUCCUGGCCAUGCACUGACGCUGAGGCACGAAGGCGUGGGGAGCAAACAGGUUUAGAUACCCUGGUAGUCCACGCAGUAAACGAUGCACACUAGGUGGUGGGCGGUAGCGCUCAGUACCGUAGCGAACGCGUUAAGUGUGCCGCCUGGGGAGUAUGCUCGCAAGGGUGAAACUCAAAGGAAUUGACGGGGGCCCGCACAAGCGGUGGAGCAUGUGGUUUAAUUCGAUGGUACGCGAGGAACCUUACCCGGGUUUGACAUGGGCCGGAAGGGGCGCGAAAGCGUCCUGCCCCUCGGGGCCGGUCCACAGGUGCUGCAUGGCU
rnacentral:rRNA from 1 species